rnacentral:misc_RNA from 1 species
UAAUAAGUGUUUAUGGCACUUCUUAAAUCCAUAUCCACCUUGUGUGCAAUGUCAGCCGUUUUCUUUAUGAAAGCGGCCAAACAUCAACUUAUUUUUUAACUGACUGUCUGAAAACUAUUAUGAAUAAACAAUUCAAAUA